rnacentral:rRNA from 1 species
UCCGGUUGAUCCUGCCGGAGGCCACUGCUGUUGGGGUUCGGCUAAGCCAUGCGAGUGGUGGGCGCGAUCGCAAGGUCGUAGCCCCGCACACGGCUCAGUAACACGUCGUCAACCCACCCUCGGGAUCUGGACAACCUCGGGAAACUGAGGACAAUCCCGGAUAGGGUACGGAGGCUGGAAUGCACUGUUCCCAAAAACCGGCGGGUAAAACCGCGCGGGCCCGAGGACGGGACGGCGGCCUAUCAGGUUGUUGGUGGUGUAGCGGACCACCAAGCCUACGACGGGUACGGGCGAUGGGAGUCGGAGCCUGGAGAUGGGGACUGAGACAAGGCCCCAGGCCCUACGGGGCGCAGCAGGCGCGAAAACUCCGCAAUGCGCGAAAGCGUGACGGGGGAACCCCAAGUGCCGCUGGCUUUUGGUCGGCGGCUUUUAGGGAGUGUAAGGAGCUCCCAGAAUAAGGGCUGGGCAAGUCGGGUGCCAGCCGCCGCGGUAAUACCCGCAGCCCAAGUGGUGGCCGCGAUUAUUGGGCCUAAAGCGCUCGUAGCCGGGUCUGCAAGUCCCUUGUGAAAUCGGCCGGGAAACCGGCCGGCUUGCAAGGGAUACUGCAAGCCUAGAGACCGGGGGACGCCGAGGGUACUCCGGGGGUAGCGGUGAAAUGCUGUAAUCCUCG